rnacentral:misc_RNA from 1 species
UCCGGUUUGACACCGGCAGUCUCCCUAGAGUGCCCGGCAUAACCCGCUGGUAACUAGGGACGAGGGUUGCGCUCGUUGCGGGACUUAACCCAACAUCUCACGACACGAGCUGACGACAGCCAUGCAGCACCUGUCUUGGGACUCCGAAGAGGGGCCGUGGUUUCUCACGGCUUUCCCCAAGAUGUCAAGCCCAGGUAAGGUUCUUCGCGUUGCGUCGAAUUAAACCACAUACUCCACUGCUUGUGCGGGUCCCCGUCAAUUCCUUUGAGUUUUAGCCUUGCGGCCGUAGUCCCCAGGCGGGGUGCUUAUUGCGUUAGCGACGGCACCGGAGGGGUCGAUACCCCCGACACCUAGCACCCAUCGUUUACAGCGUGGACUAC